rnacentral:tRNA from 1 species
AUGAUUUUAAGUUAAAUAAACUAAAAACUUUCAAAGUUUUAAUUGAUAUAGUCAAAUCAUA